AUUUAUAAGAAUAUGAUGUUGGUUCAGAUUAAGCGCUAAAUAAGGACAUGACACAUGCGAAUCAUACGUUUAUUAUUGAUAAGAUAAUAAAUAUGUGGUGUAAACGUGAGUAAUUUUAUUAGGAAUUAAUGAACUAUAGAAUAAGCUAAAUACUUAAUAUAUUAUUAUAUAAAAAUAAUUUAUAUAAUAAAAAGGAUAUAUAUAUAAUAUAUAUUUAUCUAUAGUCAAGCCAAUAAUGGUUUAGGUAGUAGGUUUAUUAAGAGUUAAACCUAGCCAACGAUCCAUAAUCGAUAAUGAAAGUUAGAACGAUCACGUUGACUCUGAAAUAUAGUCAAUAUCUAUAAGAUACAGCAGUGAGGAAUAUUGGACAAUGAUCGAAAGAUUGAUCCAGUUACUUAUUAGGAUGAUAUAUAAAAAUAUUUUAUUUUAUUUAUAAAUAUUAAAUAUUUAUAAUAAUAAUAAUAAUAAUAUAUAUAUAUAAAUUGAUUAAAAAUAAAAUCCAUAAAUAAUUAAAAUAAUGAUAUUAAUUACCAUAUAUAUUUUUAUAUGGAUAUAUAUAUUAAUAAUAAUAUUAAUUUUAUUAUUAUUAAUAAUAUAUUUUAAUAGUCCUGACUAAUAUUUGUGCCAGCAGUCGCGGUAACACAAAGAGGGCGAGCGUUAAUCAUAAUGGUUUAAAGGAUCCGUAGAAUGAAUUAUAUAUUAUAAUUUAGAGUUAAUAAAAUUAAUUAAAGAAUUAUAAUAGUAAAGAUGAAAUAAUAAUAAUAAUUAUAAGACUAAUAUAUGUGAAAAUAUUAAUUAAAUAUUAACUGACAUUGAGGGAUUAAAACUAGAGUAGCGAAACGGAUUCGAUACCCGUGUAGUUCUAGUAGUAAACUAUGAAUACAAUUAUUUAUAAUAUAUAUUAUAUAUAAAUAAUAAAUGAAAAUGAAAGUAUUCCACCUGAAGAGUACGUUAGCAAUAAUGAAACUCAAAACAAUAGACGGUUACAGACUUAAGCAGUGGAGCAUGUUAUUUAAUUCGAUAAUCCACGACUAACCUUACCAUAUUUUGAAUAUUAUAAUAAUUAUUAUAAUUAUUAUAUUACAGGCGUUACAUUGUUGUCUUUAGUUCGUGCUGCAAAGUUUUAGAUUAAGUUCAUAAACGAACAAAACUCCAUAUAUAUAAUUUUAAUUAUAUAUAAUUUUAUAUUAUUUAUUAAUAUAAAGAAAGGAAUUAAGACAAAUCAUAAUGAUCCUUAUAAUAUGGGUAAUAGACGUGCUAUAAUAAAAUGAUAAUAAAAUUAUAUAAAAUAUAUUUAAUUAUAUUUAAUUAAUAAUAUAAAACAUUUUAAUUUUUAAUAUAUUUUUUUAUUAUAUAUUAAUAUGAAUUAUAAUCUGAAAUUCGAUUAUAUGAAAAAAGAAUUGCUAGUAAUACGUAAAUUAGUAUGUUACGGUGAAUAUUCUAACUGUUUCGCACUAAUCACUCAUCACGCGUUGAAACAUAUUAUUAUCUUAUUAUUUAUAUAAUAUUUUUUUAAUAAAUAUUAAUAAUUAUUAAUUUAUAUUUAUUUAUAUCAGAAAUAAUAUGAAUUAAUGCGAAGUUGAAAUACAGUUACCGUAGGGGAACCUGCGGUGGGCUUAUAAAUAUC
rnacentral:ncRNA from 1 species